AGUGAACGCUAGUGGCGUGCUUAACACAUGCAAGUCGAACGGACGAUAUUUGUGCUUGCACAAAUAAAGUUAGUGGCAAACGGGUGAGUAAUACAUGAGAAUUUUCCUUGCAGUACGGAAUAACUAUUGGAAACAGUAGCUAAUACCGUAUAUUGCCGAGAGGUGAAAGAUUUAUCGCUGCAAGAUAAGCCCAUGCAAGAUUAGCUUGUUGGUAAGGUAAUGGCUUACCAAGGCUACGAUCUUUAGCUGGUUUGAGAGGAUGAUCAGCCACACUGGAACUUAGACACGGUCCAGACUCCUACGGGAGGCAGCAGUGAGGAAUAUUGGACAAUAGGCGAAAGCCUGAUCCAGCGACGUCACGUGAAGGAUGAAGGCCUCUGGGCUGUAAACCUCUUUUCUCAAGGAAGAAGAUCUGACGGUACUUGAGGAAUAAGCCACGGCUAAUUCCGUGCCAGCCGCCGCAGUAACAC
rnacentral:rRNA from 1 species